rnacentral:rRNA from 1 species
GUUAGGAAUAUUGGGCAAUGGAGGAAACUCUGACCCAGCAACGCCGCGUGAAGGAUGAAGGUUUUCGGAUUGUAAACUUCUGUUCUAUGGGAAAAAACAAAUGAUGGUACCAUAGGAGAAAGCCACGGCUAACUACGUGCCAGCAGCCGCGGUAAUACGUAGGUGGCAAGCGUUGUUCGGAAUGACUGGGCGUAAAGGGAGCGUAGGUUGUUUUUUAAGUUAAAUGUGAAAGCCCGGGGCUUAACUCCGGAAUGCCAUUUAAUACUGGAAGACUAGAGUGCAGGAGGGGUGAGCGGAAUUCCUAGUGUAGCGGUGGAAUGCGUAGAUAUUAGGAAGAACACCAGAGGCGAAGGCGGCUCACUGGACUGUUACUGACACUGAGGCUCGAAAGCGUGGGGAGCAAACAGGAUUAGAAACCCGAGUAGUCC